AUGUCACAGCGAUCGAGUCUAGAACUGUG
rnacentral:piRNA from 1 species